ensembl:snRNA U6 U6 spliceosomal RNA
GUGCUUGCUCUGGCAGCACAUAUAGUAAAAUUGGAAAGAUACAGAGAAGAUUAGCAUGGCCCCUGCGUAAGGACGACACGCACAUUUGUGAAGCGUUCCGUAUUUUU